ACUAUUUUUACCAAACACACCCUUUGUAUCAAAUAUACAGAUAAAAAGAGAUAAAUUAAGGUAACCCCAUUUCGCCGGAACUGUUGGUGGUUGUGGAUUUCGCCGGAAUUGAUGGUGUAAGGUGGGGAAAGAAGAAAGCGAUGAAGCAGGAUGAGGAAGAUCCGGAACACGCUAUGAGGGAAAUGGGGAACGCAGCAACAAUGUCGAAGAUGAACUCAACGACGGCGACAGUUACUGCAACUACGGUGACAGUUACCGCAACAACAACAACGACGACCGCACGGUGACAAAAACUAACCAAAACAUCAGACAAACAAAAUUGGAACAUGUCUCAUUCCUGUAAAUCAAGAAAAUUGGACUGGAAUCAAUGGAUGUUGAAGCUUUGAAGAAGCUAAACAAAAAUAAGAAACUGGUGAAGAAAUUGGCAAAGAAGUACCGUGCCUUUUUAGCUUCUGAAGCUGUUAUCAAGAAGAUUCCUCGUCUUCUGGGUCCUGGUCUCAACAAGCUGUCAGUAUUUUGAGUUCUUGAAGAUUAUGUCAGUAGUGCUAAUUAAAAAAAAUAAACAGUU